UGUGCUUCUCGUUGUUCUCCUUUACAUUGCAUUUCUGUUGUUUCUUUUAAUUUUAAUUAUUAAACUGUUCUUAUCCCAACCCACGAGCGUUACCCUUCUCAUUCUUUCCCCCAUUUACCGGUGGGGGAGUGAGCGAGCGACUGUGUGGGGCUGAGCUGCCGGCUAAAUCACGGCACCAAGACAUAUAGAGAGGCUGUAGCAGAACUUGUCUUAUUGGAAGAUGGGCACCAGCAGACUACCAGAAGAGCCUCCCAUUUCUGAACACAGUGAGCUCACAAGGACCUCUAGCUCCUACCAGGACCACCAACCCAAGGAACUGGGAAGUUUAUGAGACACCAAGGUGAGACUCAUGAGCAAUACCAGGAAUGUCAACCUAGAGCAGACAAGAAGCAUGGAAGAUGUGAAUUGUAAACACAAUACGUAUACUGUGCUUCAGCAGACCUUAAAUUCCUUUACCCAGAGGAAAAGAAAAAUGAAUUUUUAGUAAUGACAUCUUUAUUUCAGAUGUUUGCUAGUCACUAGAUUUAAAUAAAUAAAUCUAAUAA